AGGUCAGGCAAGAACACCCG
rnacentral:rRNA from 3 species